rnacentral:rRNA from 1 species
GGGUCAGUAGGUUGGUCGUGCCACCGGUACGUACUGGUCUCACUGGUUCCUCCUUCCUGAAGAACCGUAAUGCCAUUAAUUUGGUGUUGCGGGGAAACAGGACUGUUACUUUGAAAAAAUUAGAGUGUUUAAAGCAAGCUAACGCUUGAAUACAUUAGCAUGGAAUAGUGAAAUAGGACGAUCGAUCCUAUUUUGUUGGUUUCUAGGAUUGACGUA